rnacentral:rRNA from 1 species
UGCGUAGGCGGAUUAAUAAGUCAGUGGUGAAAACCUGCAGCUUAACUGUAGAACUGCCAUUGAUACUGUUAGUCUUGAGUACGGUCAAGGUAGGCGGAAUGUGUAAUGUAGCGGUGAAAUGCUUAGAUAUUACACAGAACACCGAUUGCGAAGGCAGCUUACUGGACCAUUACUGACGCUGAGGCACGAAAGCGUGGGGAGCGAACAGGAUUAGAUACCCGAGUAGUCC